CAGCUGUUUUAAAAUGGAAACCUUGCUCAUAUUUUCUCUAACGAAAAGGCAAGACUUUUCCUAGAGGCUGCACUAGGUCUAAUUACCUUGGUUAAAAAAAGAAGAAAAGAAAAAAGAAAAGAAAAGAAAAGAAAAGAAAAGAAAAGA